UCCACACAGUAAACGAUGAAUACUCGUUGUUUGCGAUAUACAGUAAGCGGCCAAGCGAAAGCGUUAAGUAUUCCACCUGGGGAGUACGCCGGCAACGGUGAAACUCAAAGGAAUUGACGGGGGCCCGCACAAGCGGAGGAACAUGUGGUUUAAUUCGAUGAUACGCGAGGAACCUUACCCGGGCUUGAAUUGCAACUGAAUGAUGUGGAGACAUGUCAGCCGCAAGGCAGUUGUGAAGGUGCUGCAUGGUUGUCGUCAGCUCGUGCCGUGAGGUGUCGGCUUAAGUGCCAUAACGAGCGCAACCCUUAUCGAUAGUUACCAUCAGGUUAUGCUGGGGACUCUGUCGAGACUGCCGUCGUAAGAUGUGAGGAAGGUGGGGAUGACGUCAAAUCAGCACGGCCCUUACGUCCGGGGCUACACACGUGUUACAAUGGGGGGUACAGAAGGCAGCUACACGGCGACGUGAUGCUAAUCCCUAAAGCCUCUCUCAGUUCGGAUUGGAGUCUGCAACCCGACUCCAUGAAGCUGGAUUCGCUAGUAAUCGCGCAUCAGCCACGGCGCGGUGAAUACGUUCCCGGGCCUUGCACACACCGCCCGUC
rnacentral:rRNA from 1 species